AACGCUGGCGGCGUGCCUAAUACAUGCAAGUCGAGCGAAUGGAUUGAGAGCUUGCUCUCAAGAAGUUAGCGGCGGACGGGUGAGUAACACGUGGGUAACCUGCCCAUAAGACUGGGAUAACUCCGGGAAACCGGGGCUAAUACCGGAUAACAUUUUGAACYGCAUGGUUCGAAAUUGAAAGGCGGCUUCGGCUGUCACUUAUGGAUGGACCCGCGUCGCAUUAGCUAGUUGGUGAGGUAACGGCUCACCAAGGCAACGAUGCGUAGCCGACCUGAGAGGGUGAUCGGCCACACUGGGACUGAGACACGGCCCAGACUCCUACGGGAGGCAGCAGUAGGGAAUCUUCCGCAAUGGACGAAAGUCUGACGGAGCAACGCCGCGUGAGUGAUGAAGGCUUUCGGGUCGUAAAACUCUGUUGUUAGGGAAGAACAAGUGCUAGUUGAAUAAGCUGGCACCUUGACGGUACCUAACCAGAAAGCCACGGCUAACUACGUGCCA
rnacentral:rRNA from 2 species